GAAGUCGACGUUGGCGGCAUGCUUUACACAUGCAGUCGAACGGCAGCACGGGCUUCGGCCUGGUGGCGAGUGGCGAACGGGUGAGUAAUAUAUCGGAACGUACCCAGAAGUGGGGGAUAACGUAGCGAAAGUUACGCUAAUACCGCAUACGAUCUACGGAUGAAAGUGGGGGAUCGCAAGACCUCAUGCUUUUGGAGCGGCCGAUAUCUGAUUAGCUAGUUGGUGAGGUAAAGGCUCACCAAGGCGACGAUCAGUAGCUGGUCUGAGAGGACGACCAGCCACACCGGAACUGAGGCACGGUCCAGACUCCUACGGGAGGCAGCAGUGGGGAAUUUUGGACAAUGGGCGCAAGCCUGAUCCAGCAAUGCCGCGUGAAGUGAAGAAGGCCUUCGGGUUGUAAAGCUCUUUUGUCAGGAGGGAAGAAACGGUGGGGGCUAAUAUCUCCUACUAAUGACGGUACCUGAAGAAUAAGCACCGGCUAACUACGUGCCAGCAGCCGCGGUAAUACGUAGGGUGCAAGCGUUAAUCGGAAUUACUGGGCGUAAAGCGUGCGCAGGCGGUUUUGUAAGUCUGACGUGAAAGCCCCGGGCUCAACCUGGGAAUUGCGUUGGAGACUGCAAGGCUUGAAUCUGGCAGAGGGGGGUAGAAUUCCACGUGUAGCAGUGAAAUGCGUAGAGAUGUGGAGGAACACCGAUGGCGAAGGCAGCCCCCUGGGUCAAGAUUGACGCUCAUGCACGAAAGCGUGGGGAGCAAACAGGAUUAGAUACCCUGGUAGUCCACGUCCCUAAACGAUGUCUACUAGUUGUCGGGUUUUAAUUUAACUUGGUAACGCAGCUAUCGCGUGAAGUAGACCGCCUGGGG
rnacentral:rRNA from 1 species